GAUUCGCUAGGUAUUGCCCCGACGACUAAAUCCCCUCUGCGCCGCCACCCGCGAGAGACACGCCCGCCGCCCGAACAUCCGAUUCAGCGCCUCCCGCCGGAGACUGCUCGCGGCCGACGAGGGACACGCCGGCGAUAUCUCCGUCGUGGCUGCGCGUCGCCAGCGCCAUCUGAUGCAGCCCCGCGCCUAACCGCGUGCACGCCAUGGGCAGCGGCCAUGGAGGCCGCACCUCCGGCUGCUCGCUCGCCGCUGGCCAGCCAGUACCUCCGCCAACAUCUCAUCCAUCUUGAUCAGGGGCACGACCUACAACUCCAACAGUUUGGCCAAGGGCAUUACAACCACAUCCGCUGCCUUUGGGCACGACCACCAGUGCUUGCGUUCCUCCGAGGAAAGAAUUAUGAGCUCUCACAUAAAUGGCUGAAACGCCUACAGGUGUGUGGGUGUGUUUUAACUUUUGCUCAUUCUUUUGUUUUUAAACAGGUGAAUUUCUGUUGCUGGAGCGUUUUAGUGAAAAGGAAUUCGGUUCUGAAACUACUCUUGAAGUUUAUGACCUGAAAAACACAGGGGAAUUAUUUUCCUCUAUUUUGUGUUACGGUCCUGCUCUACAGCUACAGGUGUUUAUUUUUAUGCCUAAAAGAAAGUAUGUGCUUUCUAGAAUAAGCUCCAUAUAUAUAUACAUCAACGUAAAAUUGGAGCAUGUACAGUUUUAUUCUUGUGCUGAGUGUGCAUCAACAGAUCAAAACUAGAAAUAAAUAGGUGCUUAACCAUUCAUCAUUCUCCUUAAGCACAUUGUAAAAAUGUGAGAAGCAAACCUGAGAAAGGUUAGUGUACUGAAGGCGUAUGCAGUGCUUUCACAGAGGUGACAAAGAGCUACAAAAUGUACGAUGAAUUGUAAAAGGAAAAAAAAAUUCUGCACUUGUCAUUUUCGCUAGUUGCUACUGUGUCUCACUAGUCUUCAGGUCUGCACCUACAGAAAGUUCUGAAGCGUCACUAGUGUUCAGUUCUGAAGCAGAUUCAGAAUGAUGGGAUACCAUCCUAAAUACAGUAGCAGCAUCCCAAAUCCAUUCCAAGUGAAAAUGGCCGGAAUUGGUUCUAUUUUUUUUGUAGCAGUGGAGCUCUAAAGAAGAGAUAAGGAAUAACAGUUCAUCUAAAACAGAGAAGAUAGACAAGAAACAGGGCUAUCACGUUUGGCUGGAUCUAAGAAGAUAUUCUGGUGUUGUUCCUCCUCCGCAGCUUCUCCUCCUGCGUGAUCCCCACCUCCUUGAUUUGAUCCCACUGACGAGCUAAGGUUUUCUCCAUCACCCCCUUCAGUAUGCAAGCUCAUCUCUUCUCUUUCAUCUCCUUAAUUUCUUGGUCUUUUUACCCUUUCUUUACCCUGCUCCUCAAAAAUCUAGAACCCUAACCCUAAAAAUUAAGAAAUUCAUGGAGAAAAGGGAAUGGAAGAGGAAGAGGGUGGUGUUACCAACGAGAAGACCGCUGACGAUGGAGAGGGACGCCGGAAAAGGUCGUUGCCGCCGCCGAGCUCGCACCAAAUCGAUGCACAGCCCAGUUCGCCUCCUGGUCGCUACCGCAUGAAGAGGGAAAGGGGGGAUAAUCCACGCAGGAGAGAGAGGGGUAGCCCUUGCUUCAAGAUUGUCCCUCCGGCGUCAUCGACAUGGCUGCCGCCGCCUCCGCAAACCGCAAUCGCCAGUGAGGAGGGGCUGAGGAGAGAGGAACGUGAACCGCUCGCACCUGAUUAGAAAAGACAUGGGUACGGGUGGAGACGUAGAGUGGGCUAGCUCCAAAGGACCAGUCAACCGUCGCAUCAACGUAAGCAAGGUAAAUUUACGGCGAUAGACGUGGAAUAAUAUUUUUAUCGGUUGAGGAUUCGUUAAGCCACACUGUUGCUCGGUCGGAUGACUGGGGUGAAGAAUUACUUAUUCUUCACCCUGGGUCCUUAAUAGACUUUAUAUAUAUAUAUAUAUAUAUAUGCAUUGCCUGUGUUGAUUGCUCCAAAGUUGUAACAUGCAUUUGCAGGUUUAUCAAUGUAUACUGACAACUGUGGUAGAAGUACAUGUUCCGAUUCUUUGUCUAAUUAGAGUUUGUAAUUAGUGUGGCUAUCAUGGAAUGGAGGGAUAGAUGAUUUCUGUAUCUGCAUAUUAGUUACAAAACAUGAGUUUGUUGAGAUACAAAGUUCUAGCAUUUGGUUAAAAUCUGAUAUAAAUUUUGAAAUAGGUCCCAAAACUUUCUAAUCAGAUACGACUAGCGUCUAGCAUAUUGCUCUGUUUUGCUAGAUGACGGUGCUCACAAAUAUUAGGCUAUUACAUUAGCCUAAGGAUAAACAAUAUUCAUGAAGCGCUUCUAUAUUGCCGGACAUGAGUGACCCUCCGAGAGCCAAAGCUGGUCAACCCUGCUCUGUAGCGAAGCACGGGAAUGGGUGCGAGGAUUGAGUUCUAAUUUGGUGGAAAGAGACCAACAGUGUUGAUGUUCAGAGGGCUGAUAUUCAUCUCUAGAGGCAAAUAAUCUCAGAUUUUUUAGUAAACGGUAAUCCCAUAUUGAUAUGAUUCUAUAACAAAGAACAUAUUGUCUGUUUUCCGAACAAAGAGCCAAAGUUAACUCUUUAUUUUUUACUUUUUGAGGUAUAAUGAGCAGAUUUAUGAUUAGUUAGUGCCAUUAUAUUAUCGAUUAAUCUUGCUUUAGUUAUGAUGCACAUGUCCACAACAAUGUAAUGCCAUAUAGAUUGGUGUUGAACGACACAAAUUUAUGUCCCCUGUGCAAAGCAUGGGCAAUUUUCGAGAGGUGAUUGUUAUGGCAGGAGGAGAUGAGUCUGGCGGAGGCAACCCUCCGGCGGCCCGUAGGUGGAGGCUUGGUGGGUGUUAGCGGACGGAUAGCUUUAUCUUCUCAGGAUAAACCAGAUGUUUUCCUAUGCCUUGAGGAGUUGCUGAUGGAUGAUAUGCAAAGGCUACCAAGUGGUAGCUGCAAUGUUGCAAUUGAGGUCAGCAAUGGGUGCUUCUCCUGGGACGGCUCACCUGAGAUACCAACACUGAAGGAUCUGGAUUUUUAAGCUCAGCAAGGCAUGCGUGUUGCAGUCUGUGGGAUGAUCGGAUCUGGAAAAUUAAGUUUGCUCUUUUGCAUUCUCGGUGAGGUGCCAAAGCUAUUAGGAGAGGCUAAAACUUGCGGAACAUUGGCAUAUAUGUCAGCCAAACGGUAUGGAUGCAGAGCAGCAAAAUUCAGGACAACAUACUGUUUGACAAGGAGAUGGAGAGUGAGAAGUAUGGCAGGGUCCUUGAGUGGUGUUCGCUGAAUAAAGACAUGGAGAUCAAAGUCAUUGGAGAGUGAGGCAGCAAUCUUAGUGGUAGGUAGAAGCAAUGGGUUCAGAUAGUCCGUGUAUUGUAUCAGGUGCUGACACCUAUUUCUUCGAUGAUCUGUUCAAUGCAGUUGAUGCUAAUACAUGAUCCCACCUUUUCAAGGAAUGCUUGCUUGGGGCUUAGGCUUAAAAACAAUGGUUUAUGUCACUCACCAGAUUGAAUUCCGGCCUGCAGCCGAUCUUAUUUUGGUAAUGAACGGCGGGAGAAUAGCACAAGCAGACAAAUACAACGAUAUACUUAGUUCAGGAGCGGACCUAGCAGAACUGGUUGGUCCUCACCAAGAGCCUCUCACAACAUUGGACGUGAUUGAUGUUGCCAAUGGAGGUGAUGAGACAUUCUCUUCGAGCCUAUCCAGGCCAUUGUCAUUGGUUGAAGAGAAAGAUAAACAAAAUGGCAAAUAAGACAGUGACAAGGUUCAAAGUGGGCAGAUGGUGCAGGAAGAAGGAAAAAAGAUAGGGUGUGGUUAUGGGUCUACUGGAAGUACCUCACAUUGGCUUACAGGGGAGCUCUUGUAGCACAGUUACUUUUCCAAGUACUUCAGGCGUUCAGAUUGCUAGCAAUUACUAGAUGGCCCGGGCUUCUCAUAUGUCGAAAGACGCCGAGGCUCCAGUGAGUGCAUACAAAAUAGCAACUCUGUUGUUCAACAAGAUGCACAUAGCCAUAUUCAGAGCUCCUAUUUGUUUUUCGACUCCAAUCCAGGUGGGAGCAUCUUGAAUAGAGACUGUGGAAGAAGCCGAGGGGCGAGCCAUUCUGAUUGGCCUCAAGUCGCUUUCAGCCGUGUACAGAGGGCCCAUAAUCAUAUCAUUGGAACUAACAGCGCUAUGAUUACCCAAGAAUUGGAGGUGGGAAGGCCUAAUAGGUCUGGUUGUUUCUCUUUCAUCAGCGACGUAAAAAAUGAGCUGCAGGUUUUCAGCCCCGUCCUCAUCUACUCCAUCCCUAGGGGAAAAAACAAACUGGCACAUGAGCUGGCUGCUCGAGCGAGACGAGAUCGUUCAUCUUUGCUGAUGUAUCGAGGCAACUCUGCACUCUGAUGCUAUCGGAAUGUACCACCUGAGUGUGUUUUGUCUGUUUAGGUAGUCAUCCUAAAAACAAGAACUAUGCUGACUCGGGACUUAACUGGUUAGGCUUCAACCAAAGGGAAGUGGAUAGAAAGAUCGCUUACCAGAUGGGUUCUGUUGCGGUUUCCAUCAUACAAAUAGCAUCAACACCUAUAUUGGUAAUUGUUUAUUAUAUUAUUUUAUAUUAAAAUGGCGUAUGUAUUC